rnacentral:rRNA from 1 species
ACGGAGGGUGCAAGCGUUAAUCGGAAUUACUGGGCGUAAAGCGCACGCAGGCGGUCUGUCAAGUCGGAUGUGAAAUCCCCGGGCUCAACCUGGGAACUGCAUUCGAAACUGGCAGGCUAGAGUCUUGUAGAGGGGGGUAGAAUUCCAGGUGUAGCGGUGAAAUGCGUAGAGAUCUGGAGGAACACCAGUGGCGAAGGCGACUUUCUGGUCUGUAACUGACGCUGAGGCGCGAAAGCGUGGGGAGCAAACAGGA